rnacentral:rRNA from 12 species
AAUAGUGACUGCACCUGAGUGCGAGUGCCUGAUGGCAUCUGCUUUCAGAAUUUAAGCAAGACCAUGCCUGGUUAGUACUCGGAUGGGAGACCAACUUGGAAGAACAGGGGCCUCUAACC